CGCUAACUCCGUGCAAGAAGCCGAGAUAAUACGGAGGAUCAAAGCGGUAUCCUGAAUAAUUGGGUUUAAAGGGUCCGUAGGCGGCCUUAUAAGUAAGUGGUGAAAUCUCUUAGCUCAACUAGGAAACUGCCAUUGAUACUGUAGGGCGUGAAUUUUUGUGAAGUAACUAGAAUAUGUAGUGUAGCGGUGAAAUGCUUAGAUAUUACAUGGAAUACCAAUUGCGAAGGCAGGUUACUAACAAACGAUUGACGCUGAUGGACGAAAGCGUGGGGAGCGAACAGGAUUAGAUACCCGAGUAGUC
rnacentral:rRNA from 1 species